GCCUCCGUAAAUCCGGAGGUCGGGAUUGGCGUCCCGAGUGCAAUGGCGGACACACCGCCACUAGAGCGGUUUUUUU
rnacentral:sRNA from 1 species